GGUGGCUCUGUGGUAGAGCACUUGCCUUGCAUGCAUGAGGCCUUGGGUUCGAUUCCUCAGCACCA
rnacentral:tRNA from 1 species